rnacentral:rRNA from 1 species
AGAGUUUGAUCCUGGCUCAGAUUGAACGCUGGCGGCAGGCCUAACACAUGCAAGUCGAACGGUAACAGGAAGAAGCUUGCUUCUUUGCUGACGAGUGGCGGACGGGUGAGUAAUGUCUGGGAAACUGCCUGAUGGAGGGGGAUAACUACUGGAAACGGUAGCUAAUACCGCAUAACGUCGCAAGACCAAAGAGGGGGACCUUCGGGCCUCUUGCCAUCGGAUGUGCCCAGAUGGGAUUAGCUAGUAGGUGGGGUAACGGCUCACCUAGGCGACGAUCCCUAGCCGGUCUGAGAGGAUGACCAGCCACACUGGAACUGAGACACGGUCCAGACUCCUACGGGAGGCAGCAGAAGGGCGAAUU